rnacentral:lncRNA from 1 species
GUGACAGGAUAAACUUCAAAGUUUGUAACUUACAUCUUUCUCCCUUCUUGCUAUGUUUUUUUAAUAUGCAUCUGUUUUUACAGGUAAUGGAGGCCCUAUGCACAAGGUGGAAUACAAUUACUGCCCUACUAGAAAGCAGGAAGAAUGGAUGUAACGGCCAGGAUGACUCCUAGAAAAAAACCAAACCCAAACCAAACAAUAAAAACCUGUUUUGAUACAUGAUUCAAGAAGUUUGACUGAAAACAAGCCAUUUCUGCAGAUACUAUAUGUUACUGGAAGGUAGAAGUAAAAUCCAUAUAUUUUUCACUGGGAAACUAUUUAAAGAUUAUUCUUGAUGUCCCAUUUUUUAUUACUUUUUUUCUCAAGGAAAUAGAACAGCAUUCAACUUACUGGCAGAAUAAGCAACUGUAGUAUUGCUUUAUAAAAUCCAACUGCAGUAACUCUGCAUAGCUGGACAUUCAUAUACCUGACCAGCUUGAUUCAUCUUUUCAACAGAGCAUUUUUACAAUAUGGAAACAAAAACAAUAAUGCAAUGAAAAGAAGAGACAGAAUUAGAGUCAGUGGAAAGCCAUUUCAGCACAUGCUACAAUAUUUUACCUUUGUUCUCCAGUCUGGAUUUAAUAUUAUGUGUAGAAGCAGCACUAUGCAAAACCAGGCAGCUGGAUAUCUAGAGCCUGCCGUUCCUGAGGGAGUCCCAGAGACCUACUUGAUGAUGGGAGUGUUUCACAGCUGUAAGAGACUCGGAUUGUUAAACAAUGACUUGAGCUGUAACAUAUUUUAGUGACUAGACUCUUAAAACCCUGAGGUUUUCUAAUUGCCUGCAGCCAGCCUGCUUAUCGCUGGAAACCUGCGAGCCCCUGUGUUGCAACUGGAGGCAGUGAAAGCCCAUCUUAAACAUGUCCUUCAAUUACAAUGAAACCAUUCCAGAAAAAAAAAAACAAAAAACAACCCUUUGCACCCCAUUUUUCUGCUGUCAGAGGUGCAGGUGGGCCGGGGGUUUGCUGACGUGGGUAAGAGGACACUGUUCCUGAUGGGCCCCCGCCAGGGUGCUGCUUUCUGAGCACCAUUUGAGAAGGCACAAAACCUGUGAUGAGAGCAAUGGAUAAAUGGUGCACGCUGGUUCCUACAGAAUAAAACCCAGCACACAGCAGAAAAACCA